GUAGUCAUAUGCUUGUCUCAAAGAUUAAGCCAUGCAUGUCUAAGUAUAAGCAAUUAUACCGUGAAACUGCGAAUGACUCAUUAAAUCAGUUAUCGUUUAUUUGAUAAUACCUUACUACUUGGAUAACCGUGGUAAUUCUAGAGCUAAUACAUGCUGAAAAUCCCGACUUCGGAAGGGAUGUGUUUAUUAGAUAAAAAACCAAUGCCCUUCGGGGCUUUUUGGUGAUUCAUGAUAACUUUACGGAUCGCAUAGCCUUGCGCUGGCGACGGUUCAUUCAAAUUUCUGCCCUAUCAACUUUCGAUGGUAAGGUAUUGGCUUACCAUGGUUUCAACGGGUAACGGGGAAUUAGGGUUCGAUUCCGGAGAGGGAGCCUGAGAAACGGCUACCACAUCCAAGGAAGGCAGCAGGCGCGCAAAUUACCCAAUCCCGACACGGGGAGGUAGUGACAAUAAAUACUGAUACAGGGCUCUUUUGGGUCUUGUAAUUGGAAUGAGUACAAUUUAAACCUCUUAACGAGGAACAAUUGGAGGGCAAGUCUGGUGCCAGCAGCC
rnacentral:rRNA from 1 species